ensembl:snoRNA
UUGCGCCUCCGAAGCGGUCUGUGCUUUAGGAUGGUCAACACAGGGGGGUAGAGCGCUCUCUCACUGAAACCUGGGGCGGGGUUGGGUCUCCGCCUUCGGAUCCUGUCGUGAGAAACAACG